rnacentral:rRNA from 1 species
GACAAACGCUGGCGGUAUGCCUAACACAUGCAAGUCGAACGGACAGAACAGGGAAGCUUUUCGGAGUGGAACUGGAAAGUUAGUGGCGGAUGGGUGAGUAACGCGUGGACAACCUACCUUGUAAAGGGGAAUAACCUCGAGAAAUCGAAGCUAAUACCCCAUAAUAACCUUGCUUCGCAUGAAGUAAGGAGGAAAGGCGGCCUUAGCGCUGUCGAUACAAGAUGGGUCCGCGUCUGAUUAGCUAGUUGGUGAGGUAAAGGCUCACCAAGGCGACGAUCAGUAGCCGGCCUGAGAGGGUGAACGGCCACAUUGGGACUGAGACACGGCCCAAACUCCUACGGGAGGCAGCAGUGGGGAAUCUUCCGCAAUGGGCGAAAGCCUGACGGAGCAAUGCCGCGUGAGUGAAGAAGGCCUUCGGGUUGUAAAACUCUGUCCUUAUCGAAGAGAGAGUGUUGUAGUAACUGACAAUACUAGGACGGUAGAUGGGGAGGAAGCCCCGGCUAACUAUGUG